AUGUCUUGCUCCUCCGGUGAUUCGUCAGCUUCUCGAGGCGGUGGGCUCCGAAGGAGAGGCGUAGCAGCAAGGUCUUUGGUGCCCUAUCGGGAGCAACCAAUGGCUUACGAGCAGGCGGUGAUUUGCGCUCAGUGCGGCAGGAAGGCGCCGCGGUGGAUAUCCUAGAGUCCGGCGAACCCUGGUAGGAGAUAUUAUUCGUGCGUAGAUUUGCAGGUAAGCUUGAUUCCUCACAUGUCCUCUUGUUCUCUGUUUUUGUUCUGUCAAACUCCGAAUUUUCUGUGUCAUGAACUGAACAGCAUGGCUUCAUCGACUGGCAUGACGCCCCCACAACUCCAUUUGUUCGUCAAUUGCUAG
rnacentral:rRNA from 1 species